rnacentral:rRNA from 1 species
GACGAACGCUGGCGGCGUGCUUAAUACAUGCAAGUCGAACGGACAGGCCAUGAUCUUGCGGGUUGCUCGAUUGGCGAACGCGUGAGUAACACGUGAGUAAACCGCCCCUAUCUUUGUGAUAACUCCAGGAAACUGGGGCUCAUAUCGGAUAGGAGCUCCUGCUGCACGGUGGUGGUAGGAAAGUUUCGGCGGUUGGGGCUGGUCUAGAGGCUUAUCCGCUUGUUGGUGGGGUAGUGGCUUACAAAGGCUUUGACGGGUAGCCGGCCUGAGAGGGUGACCGGCCACAAGAGGACUGAGAGACGGCCCAGUCUCCUACGGGAGGCAGCAGGGGGGAAUAUUGCGCAGUGGGCGGAAGCCUGAGGCAGCAGCGCCGCGUGCGGGAUAACGGGUUUCGGGUUGUGAACCGCUUUCGCAUGUGAUGAAGCGUGAGUGACGGUAAUGGGUCAGAAAGCAACGGCUAACUACGUG